rnacentral:lncRNA from 1 species
AGAGUAAAAUGUGUUUGCUGUGGGUUUGUUACAAAUACAGGUGCAGCUGUCGCUUAGGAGUGCAUUUAGUUCCAGGAACAUAAACAGAAGUGUAUGAGAGUUGCUGCGUGCACAGAGCAGUUUGCAUAGAGAGCAAAUAUGGAAAUGCAGUUCUGAGGCAGUUGUUUGGGAUGAAGUAAUGUUCUGUCUUUUUUGGUAUUAUUUGGAAGUAUAUCUCAGUAAAUGCGCUCAGUGGCUUUCAAAAGAGUUUGAGCUUGUAUGUUUUAUCGACUGUCUUUAAUGCAUUAUCCUCACAAGCAGAUGCUGACCUUGCUUGGAAGGCUUUGUGGCACAAUCCUUAGGCUUGCAUUGAUACUUGUAGGAAUCUGUGGGGUUACAAGCAUCCUAUUCCAGUCUGGAUGUGGCCCUGAGCAGCCUGGUCUGGUGGUUGGUGACCCUGCCCAUGGCAGUGGGGUUGAAACUAGAUGAUCUGUGUGGUACUUUUCAACCCAGGCCAUUCUAUGAUUCUAUUCCACAUCCAGAGCUCUUACUUUUAUUGUAGUAAAGUGAAAACCUGGGGUGCUCCCUCCACGCUCCACUUGCAAGUGUUUUGGGAUGGUACUGUAAAACCCCAGAUGUGUUCUCAGCACUUACUGAUGAACUGGUGAUGCUGUCCCAGCAGAGUGCAUCCCAAACUGAGUUUUCUUUUAGUCAGCACUCUGGAAUGAAGCUAAUGUGUUGUCAGUGCAUACUCAAAUAUCUCAGGGCUCUAUUAAAUUUUGAUGUCUGUGGGUAGACAGCUUUCACGUACAUUCCUAAUAACACCAUAUACUUGCAGCUUUUGUGUGCUGUGACCUGAAUUUUUUUUGAAAAUUAAUGGACGUAGAAGCAGCCAGAUAUGCUAAUGUGGAGCUCUGUAAUUUGGGGGUGUGAACUGCAGAAAUAUCACUCUGUGUAUGUGUUUUUAAAAGAGAAAGUAAAUAGUAACAAAAGGACAAAACAGGUCCAAAAGUAAUAGAAAGAAGUUCACGUUGUAGGACGAAAUUUCAAAGCAAAGAUGUGUGAAAAGGCCUUAAAUAGGCAGUGGCUAUCAAAAGGAAAUGGGUGGAGAGCAAAAACCUAUGAGUUCAGAGGCUGAAGCAGCUUCUCUUAUGCUUUUUCCUGCUCUUAACAUUUCUUGAGCUAUUCUUCAUGUUAAAGCCCAAGCACUGAGCAGCCCUGUGUUGAGCCCUGUGGAUAAGAAGACCAAGUUUGCUUUUCUUUUCCUUUAAUACAUUUCAUCUCCCAGAGCAGCCAAGGCAGGAUUGCUUAUUCUUCUUGGAUGGUGGAAGCAAUGUCUGGUCAGUGUCUGGCUGACUGAACUUGGCUUUGAGCUCUGCUCAGUGCCCGCUGUCUGAUUGCUGAAGUAUUUCCUUUUAAAUUGCAGCUCUGUAUACCCAGUGCAGUGAAGCUGUCAGUCCGCUGUGUUCUGCGAGCACUGAAUGCUGAGAGGGGUCUGUCUGCAGGCUUUCUUCUGCUGAUUUAUUUGCAGAUUUGGGGAACGAGCACUUAUGUUUAGGUUGUGGUAUAAUCUAACUGAGCACUUCGUCCUGGGAGAAGGCACCAGUAAGUUACUUAAUCCUUUAUGCAAUUUUUAAAUGCCUGUCACAAGAAGGAAACAGUAACAGAAAUAAGCAUUAUUGUUGAAGUAAUGGUAGGAGGCCAACUUCAGAUGGCAGUUGUGUGAAAUUUCUUCUUUAAUGUAGGAUGUGGAGAGCUGAAUUGGUGACUGUCCACUGAUUCCAUCCUCAGCAGGAAAAAAUGUAGAGCUCUGUCAUUUUGCAUCAGAGCUUAACAUUAUCUUCAUGGAACCAGAGAAAGAAACUUGAUGCUUUCUUUUUCCUUCAUCCUUAAAAGCUUUGUCUGUUGCAAAAAUGCAAUUAAAUCUUCCAUAGCAGAGGCUUGUGGAGAUGAGCAGGGGUUAUUUACUUUCCUAGGGAUGAACUAGUUGUAGUGUGUAACAACAUAAGCUUGUUUUUGCUCUUGACGUCAACAGCAGAGUUGAAAGUUGGGAUGCAUAAUAGAUGCUAAGAGUAAGCGGCUGCUGAGUGGUUCCCUACCCCCUCCGACUGCAGCCUUGUUCUUUGUGACGCUGGGUUUCCUUUGCUCUCUCCAAGGCAC